AACGAACGCUGGCGGCAGGCCUAACACAUGCAAGUCGAACGGGAUCUUCGGAUCUAGUGGCGGACGGGUGAGUAACGCGUGGGAACGUGCCCUUUGGUUCGGAAUAGCCCUGGGAAACUGGGAGUAAUACCGGAUACGGUCGAGAGACGAAAGAUUUAUCGCCGAAGGAUCGGCCCGCGUUGGAUUAGGUAGUUGGUGGGGUAAUGGCCUGCCAAGCCGACGAUCCAUAGCUGGUUUGAGAGGAUGAUCAGCCACACUGGGACUGAGACACGGCCCAGACUCCUACGGGAGGCAGCAGUGGGGAAUCUUAGACAAUGGGGGAAACCCUGAUCUAGCCAUGCCGCGUGAGCGAUGAAGGCCUUAGGGUUGUAAAGCUCUUUCGUGGGGGAAGAUAAUGACUGUACCCCAAGAAGAAGCCCCGGCUAACUCCGUGCCAGCAGCCGCCGUAACAC
rnacentral:rRNA from 1 species